rnacentral:rRNA from 1 species
AUAAAUUAAAACUUUCAACAACGGAUCUCUUGGUUCUGGCAUCGAUGAAGAACGCAGCGAAAUGCGAUAAGUAAUGUGAAUUGCAGAAUUCCGUGAAUCAUCGAAUCUUUGAACGCACAUUGCGCCCGCCAGUAUUCUGGCGGGCAUGCCUGUUCGA